CUUAUCUCCAUCUCCUGAGCUAUAGCACCCAAUCAAAGCUUUCUUCCCUAGCAACACUCAUUGUCUCAGUGAUUGGCUUUCUGUGUGGCACGCAACUGGACCUAGACAAACCUCUGGCAUUUUGGUACACCUAGGCUGCUAACUGGGGGCAGCAGGUCAAUGUCCCCAUUUACCAACCCAAGCAAGUAAGCCCACCUGAGCCACAGAACCUUCUCCCUCCCUACAAAAGGCUCAGGAGUAGGAGGCACCAGGGAAAAAAGAAAAGAAAAAUGACAUCAUGAAACCACUGGAAGUCACAAUUUAGAGAAUAAUCACAGACCACAAGUCAAGCCAGGAAAAAUAACUGCCUAGUUAAAAAAAAAAAAAAAAAGUCUUUUUCUAAAAAGAAGAGGGGAAGAGGAGGAGGGGACCAUGCAGCGUUAUGACAGCCAAUAUGAGUGCAGGUAAUUUCAAAUACUUUCAGACCAUUCACCUUGUCAGCAGCUCACUUCACAUUCAGGUUACAUUUCUCUGUAGUCUGAUGAGAGAAAUGACAGAGUUUAUCUCAUGAUACCUCAUUCUGUACUAUAGGGCAUUUUACAAGGUCAAUGAUAAUAAAAUUUUCCCUAGUAAUACGCCCUUUAAUCUUACUUAUCCACGACAUCCAAAAUCAAUAUGAAAUAAAGAAUUCUGCUACAUGAAAACACUUAACCUGAGAACAGGUUGUAUCUAAAUGACUCAUUGUUAAUCUAUCAAUAUUAUCCUAAUCUGAUUGUAUUUGGAUUUACUAUUUUGGUCCCUGACAUCUCUUGUAAGCCUCCAAAUUCUAGUUUUCCAGAAAUGAGAAGCUAGCUCGAGAUAUAGCUCUAUUUCCCCACUUAUUUUUCCAGCCUUACCUCCUAAACCAGGCUGAAAUUCUAUGUUCUUCUUUUCACUUCUAUCGAUGAGAUCACAUCAUCAAUGUUUUUAACUAUUCACGUAUAAUGUUCUAUUUAUGAGAUUGCAAGACACUAUAGAAAUGUAACCACUCCUAGAUUCAGAGAAAUAUAUCUCGUAAGAAUGUCGAAUAUGAAUUUUUUAGCAAAAAGCAUAUGUCUAGCAUAACAAGACAGCAAUCUUUGUGUUUCUCCUCUUUCUUGGUCUCUCAGGUUGACUACCUGAGCUUCGAUACCCCAUUGCUACAACGGUUCCGCACCUUUUAAAGUCAGAGCCAGUAUGAACACAUUUUAGCUGGCCCCACCAUACAAUUCAACACAUAAUUGACCUCUUAUAGAAAGUGAGGCAAAAACAAUGUCAAAUAGUAAGGUCUUUGCCCCCCAGAAAGUUUAUCUGGUGGGG
rnacentral:lncRNA from 1 species